AGGCUUAACACAUGCAAGUCGAGGGGCAGCAUGUCGGUUGCUUGCAACCGACGAUGGCGACCGGCGCACGGGUGAGUAACGCGUAUCCAACCUACCCUUGUCCAUCGGAUAACCCGUCGAAAGGCGGCCUAACACGAUAUGCGGUUCACCGCAGGCAUCUAACGUGAACGAAAUGUGAAGGAGAAGGAUGGGGAUGCGUCUGAUUAGCUUGUUGGCGGGGUAACGGCCCACCAAGGCGACGAUCAGUAGGGGUUCUGAGAGGAAGGUCCCCCACAUUGGAACUGAGACACGGUCCAAACUCCUACGGGAGGCAGCAGUGAGGAAUAUUGGUCAAUGGACGAGAGUCUGAACCAGCCAAGUAGCGUGCAGGAAGACGGCCCUAUGGGUUGUAAACUGCUUUUAUAGGGGGAUAAAGUGUGCCACGUGUGGCAUAUUGCAGGUACCCUAUGAAUAAGGACCGGCUAAUUCCGUGCCAGCAGCCGCGGUAAUACGGAAGGUCCGGGCGUUAUCCGGAUUUAUUGGGUUUAAAGGGAGCGUAGGCCGUCUUAUAAGCGUGUUGUGAAAUGUCGGGGCUCAACCUGGGCAUUGCAGCGCGAACUGUGAGACUUGAGUGCGCAGGAAGUAGGCGGAAUUCGUCGUGUAGCGGUGAAAUGCUUAGAUAUGACGAAGAACUCCGAUUGCGAAGGCAGCCUGCUGUAGCGCAACUGACGCUGAAGCUCGAAAGCGUGGGUAUCGAACAGGAUUAGAUACCCUGGUAGUCCACGCGGUAAACGAUGGAUGCUCGCUGUUUGCGUCUGACGUAAGCGGCCAAGCGAAAGCGUUAAGCAUCCCACCUGGGGAGUACGCCGGCAACGGUGAAACUCAAAGGAAUUGACGGGGGCCCGCACAAGCGGAGGAACAUGUGGUUUAAUUCGAUGAUACGCGAGGAACCUUACCCGGGCUUGAACUGCAGCGGACGGAUACAGAGAUGUUGACUCCCUUCGGGGCCGCUGUGGAGGUGCUGCAUGGUUGUCGUCAGCUCGUGCCGUGAGGUGUCG
rnacentral:rRNA from 1 species